GGUUUGGUCUCUUUAUAUGGAAUGGAGCAGUCUUGAGUUGAAUUGUUUUGGUUUGAUCCCUCUUAAGCAGGUGAGAGGAAAUGCACAACUGCCAUACCAGAACCUCUGAAUGAGAAACAUUUAGACUGAUAUUUGGUAUAUGGGCAGAAGUGACGGCUGAUGUUGGUAUGCGACAAUCAAAGGCGAAUAUGGGAUUUUUCAGAAACU
rnacentral:lncRNA from 1 species